UAAUCCUGAACUAUCAUAGCUCGAACAAGGGCAUGGCGUUUGCAAUUUCCAGCUCAAAUUUCUUCACCGCUUCUUACAUCGGCCAGAACAGGGACUAAUAACGGCACCUCGACACCCAUUUAGCUCACAGGUUGUUUGCCGGUCACAAAGUGAUGGCGGUGGUCGCCGUGUUUGGAGUCGGAGAAAAUUGGUUUGUGCUAUAUAUUUUUAUCUCUAAGUUCUUUGUUUUCUUGUGAAUAUGAUAAUUUAUUGGGUAAAGAACACACGAGUUCACUUAAGUAUGCUAAAACAGUCGUUUUGGUCACUUAACUUAAAAAACAAAAGGUAA